rnacentral:rRNA from 1 species
UACGGAGGGGGCUAGCGUUGUUCGGAAUCACUGGGCUUAAAGGGCGCGUAGGCGGGCGAUCAAGUCAGGGGUGAAAUCCGUCGGCUUAACCGGCGAAGAGCUUUUGAUACUGGUCGUCUCGAGGGAGGUAGGGGCAUACGGAACUUCCGGUGGAGCGGUGAAAUGCGUAGAGAUCGGAAGGAACGCCGGUGGCGAAAGCGGUGUGCUGGACCUCUUCUGACGCUGAGGCGCGAAAGCCAGGGGAGCAAACGGGG